rnacentral:tRNA from 1 species
GCCACGGUCGCUUAGCCUGGUAGAGCGCAGGAUUGCUAAUCCUGUUCCUUCGGGAAUCCCCGGUUCAAAUCCGGGCCGUGGCG